GGUUGGCCACCGAGUUCCAUCACCUCACACGCAGGCCCCACGGUCCAGAGGACGCCGAGGCCAGACUCUGCUGCCUUGGACAUCAAGGCCUUCCAUGGCCAGGCCCCCGCCCAGGUCUCUAGCCUUCCCUGCCGCUUGCAAAAUGCCCUCCCACUCAACGCCCUUCUUUCCCCCACACUUCCGGGGUGGCCGCUCUGAGCGGUGGCCAGCCAGAGUUCUUCCCCCAAGAAGCGGAUGUCAGAAAUGUUAGGAAGCUCAGACAACCCCAAUCUCCGCCCUUCUCAUCUCCCAACCUAGAGCUGUGUAAUCUGAGGCUAGGAGGGGAGAUGGGUUGCCUGAGGCAGUGUCAAAUCUGGAGUGAGGAAUUGAAGACCAACUUCAGUGUGGCUACUGGCUAUUUAGAAAGGACCACCAGUGCGAAUAUGAGUGUGAAGUCGCUUCAGUUGUGUCCGACACUUUGCAACCCCACGGACUGCAGCCUGCCAGGCUCCUCUGUCCAUGGGAUUCUCCAGGCAAGAAUACUGGAGUGGGUUGCCAUUUCCUUCUCCAGGGGAAUCUUUCCAACCCAGGGAUGGAUCCGCGUCUCCUCCAUUGGCAGGUUCUUUACCACUAGAGCCACUGGGGAAGCCCACUAGACCACCAAGGAAGUCCCAGAUCCCACAUCUGAGUUGAGCUCAGGGCAUACGUAGGACCAGCCCAGCCUCAGACUCUGGUCCUGUCUCUGCCCUGCUCCCGAAAGUACGACCCAGGCAGCCUACUGAGCUUCCAUCCCUUCUUCCUCAUCCCUUAUUUUGGGUUUCCAACGGAGACUGCAGCCCCAAUUCUUCAUCUCCUAUGGACCUCAUACCCCAGCUGUGUCCUAGAGGACGGUAUGAGCCCCUAGACCUAUAUUCCAGUUGGAGCACUGACUGCACCCAGGCGCUGACCCCUGCCUGACCCCGGCCAUGGCCCUGGACUCUGGGUCUUCCUGAGCUCCGGAAGCUCUCUCUGUUUUGCAACCUGGCUGGCUUCCUUGAGUGGCCCUGGCCCCCAGGCUCACCUCCAUCGCCGUCCGUCUCCUCCUGAGGCCCCACGGAGCCUCCCUGGGCAGCACUUCAAGCUGUGGAGGCCCGCUCCCCACC
ensembl:lncRNA